rnacentral:rRNA from 1 species
CUGGAGACAGGUGCUGCAUGGCUGUCGUCAGCUCGUGUCGUGAGAUGUUGGGUUAAGUCCCGCAACGAGCGCAACCCUGCCUUUAGUUGCCAGCAGUUCGGCUGGGCACUCUAAAGGGACUGCCGGUGGUUAAACCGGAGGAAGGUGGGGGAUGACGUCAAGUCCUCAUGGCCUUUAUGACCAGGGCUACACACGUACUACAAUGGCCGAUACAAAGGGCAGCGACACUGCGAGGUGAAGCCAAUCCCGUAAAAUCGGUCUCAGUCCGGAUUGGAGUCUGCAACUCGACUCCAUGAAGUUGGAAUCGCUAGUAAUCGUGGAUCAGCAUGCCACGGUGAAUACGUUCCCGGGCCUU